rnacentral:rRNA from 1 species
UACGGAAGGGGCUAGCGUUGUUCGGAAUUACUGGGCGUAAAGAGCGCGUAGGCGGCUUACCAAGUUGGGGGUGAAAUCCCGGGGCUCAACUCCGGAACUGCCUUCAAAACUGGUAGGCUCGAGUCCGGAAGAGGGGCGUGGAAUGCCGAGUGUAGAGGUGAAAUUCGUAGAUAUUGGGAAGAACACCGGUGGCGAAGGCGGCGCACUGGUCCGGUACUGACGCUGAGGCGCGAAAGCGUGGGGAGCAAACAGG